rnacentral:rRNA from 1 species
GACGAACGCUGGCGGCGUGCUUAACACAUGCAAGUCGAACGGAAAGGCCCUGCUUUUGUGGGGUGCUCGAGUGGCGAACGGGUGAGUAACACGUGAGUAACCUGCCCUUGACUUUGGGAUAACUUCAGGAAACUGGGGCUAAUACCGGAUAGGAGCUCCUGCUGCAUGGUGGGGGUUGGAAAGUUUCGGCGGUUGGGGAUGGACUCGCGGCUUAUCAGCUUGUUGGUGGGGUAGUGGCUUACCAAGGCUUUGACGGGUAGCCGGCCUGAGAGGGUGACCGGCCACAAUGGGACUGAGAUACCGCCCAGAAUCCUACGGGAGGCAGAAGGGGGGAAUAUUGCACCAUGGGCGGAAGCCUGAUGCAGCAACGCCGCGUGGGGGAUGACGGCCUUCGGGUUGUAAACCGCUUUUGCCUGUGACGAAGCGUGAGUGACGGUAAUGGGUAAAGAAGCACCGGCUAACUACGUG